rnacentral:tRNA from 1 species
GGUAGCACAGUGGUUAAGAGCUUGGCUACUAACCAAAAAGUUGGUGGUUCAAAUCCACCAGCCA